rnacentral:rRNA from 1 species
AUAUAAGUAAGCGGAGGACAAGAAACUAAACAGGAUCCCCAUAGUAAUGGCGAAUGAACAGGGAUGAGCUCAGCAUGGAAAUUGGGGCCUGUGGCUUUGACUUGUAAUCUUGUGAGGCAUUGCCAACAGAGGCGCAGAUGUAAGUCUCUUGGAAAAGAGCAUCAAUGAGGGUGAGAGUCCUGCUUGUCAUUUGCAGCCCCCCUGUGCACGGUGUGCCUUCUAAGAGUCACGUUCCUCGGGAUUGGAGCGCAAAGUGGGUGGUAACUUUCAUCUGAAGCUAAACAAUGGUUUGGGACCGAUAGGAAACAAGUACCAUGAGGGAAAGGUGAAAAGGACUUUGGAAAGAGAGUUAAAAGUGCCUGAAAUUGCUGAAGGGGAAGCGAAUGGAACCAGCGGCGCUGGGUGAGAUUGUCACACGCUGCAGGGAUUGGUUGCUGCAUCAGCGCAAGCGAUCUAGCGACUGCUGAAUUGUAAGUGUGUGGUGUGUCUUGCCUUGUGUGUCAUUGUGGGUUUAUGCAUUAAGACAAUUCAAAGUGCAUGGCAAUAUGUUUCUGAAUCUAUGAAUGUGUUUUGUUAUGUUUAUGCAUAAGCUUCCUAUUCUAUGUCUGGCUGCAGUGCUUGCCGUCCCCAUUUUUUUUGGAUAGAUGAGCUGAGCAUGUCCUUCUGCACAGAUCUUGGCUAAAUGGUUCUAUUCGACCCGUCUUGAAACACGGACCAAGGAGUCUAGCAUAUGUGCAAAUGCAUGGGCUGCACACCUGUGUGUGCAAUGAAAGUGACUGCUGGGAUAUUUGCUCUAGCAACCGACCAAUCAAUUGAGAGAGGUUUGAGUAUUAGCAUAUUUGUUAGGACCCGAAAGAUGGUGAACUAUGCUUGAGAAGGGCAAACUCAGGGGAAACUCUGAUGGAGGCUCGUAGCGGUACUGACGUGCAAAUCGUUCGUCAUACUUGAGUAUAGGGGCGAAAGACUAAUCGAACCAUCUAGUAGCUGGUUCCCUCUGAAGUUUCCCUCA